AUGGCAGGAAGAAGGUGGGUCUUGCUUUUUGCUGGUUCCUGUUUGCUGUUUGCAGCCACCAUGAACUGCAGCCCAGCCAUGCCUGCCUGUCUUGGAGCCAACUGAGUGUGGACUGAAACCUCCAAAAACUAGAGCACCAUGUGAGGAAACAGGAGACUUUAGAGGUUACAUUCCAGUACCUCAGCUGGCCUUAUCUGCAAUGCUUAGAGCCAGUUGAAGAGAGAAGGAAACACCACAGCCAGCUUUGUACACAUCAGUACAUGGAAAUAAACCUGAUUUAACCAA